CGGCGGACGGGUGAGUAACGCGCGGGUAACCUGCCUCAUACAGGGGGAUAACAGUUGGAAACGGCUGCUAAUACCGCAUAAGCGCACAGUACCGCAUGGUACGGUGUGAAAAACUCCGGUGGUAUGAGAUGGACCCGCGUCUGAUUAGGUAGUUGGUGGGGUAACGGCCUACCAAGCCGACGAUCAGUAGCCGACCUGAGAGGGUGACCGGCCACAUUGGGACUGAGACACGGCCCAA
rnacentral:rRNA from 1 species